rnacentral:misc_RNA from 1 species
UCUGAUUGGUCCAUUCGCACUAACGUCAUCAGGUAGAUUGAGAAGCGGUAGCAUCCAGUAUGCCACUUUUGGACCACUGUCCGAGUUUCCUCGACCAUUCAUGUACUUGCCACUCCGUCUGGUCACCUCCCUCAGGUCAUCAGGCCGUAACAGUCCUGAAUUAGCCACCUCCGUUUGUCACCCUUCCCGCCAGGAGUGAUGUAUGGGACUAAGCAGACGACUUGUCAUCAUUGCGCUGGAAGCAUUUACUCUUGUGUGUUACCUGGCAGAUGAACAGUGUACAGUCAGUGUGCCGGGCUGGUAGACCAGGGACAAUGUACACCUGGGGAGUGCUCCUCCUUCUCCCCACCCUCCUGCUUCAUACCCCUAGCGUCCAGGGGAACAAGCGAGAGUUCAGGAUUGCCUGGAUGGCACCCAAGCAGGAGUACAACAAGUUCAGUGCUGCCACUACUGUGAAUGCCUUAAAGUUGGCUUUGUAUUCAAUUGGACGAAAAUAUCUCAGAGGACAUCCUAUACGGGUGAAAUGGUACGACAGUGACUGCAACUCCAAGGCCGCUCUCACUUCCGCUGUCGACGCCAAGAACAUGUUUGACCCCCAUCUCUUCCUGGGACCCCCGUGUUCCGCAGGUAUGCGCCCCGUGGCUCAGCUGGCGUCCCACUGGAACAUCCCCGUGUUUGGCUGGGUCUCCAACGACCACGACCUGAGGGACAGGGACAUCUACUCCACUCUUAUCAGACUGCUCGGACCCCUCAACCAGUUCUCUACGACAAUGCGCUACGUCUCAAGUGUGUUUAACUGGAAGCGUUACGCCAUGAUCCACGACAAAGACGAAUCCUACAAGUCCGUGUACGAAGCUCUGGCUGGUGACACCACCAACUUCUUCACCUCCACGCACUCUGUGACCCCGAGUAUGGACGAUGACCAGAUCAAAGAGAUCUUCCUCCAGGUCAAGAAGUACGCUAGAAUCAUCAUCUUCGCCGUGCCGUGGUUGACGAUGAGGAAGUACAUCCUGGUGGCUCACCGACUGGGGCUCACGACGGGGGAGUUCGCCUUCAUCUGCAUCAAUGGAGACGUGUAUUCGGGCGAGACGCUCGAGGCAGAUGUUUUAUCUGACCGUGUGUGGCGACGAAACGAUUCCUUUGACGAAGAGGCCAAGUUUGCGUUUGAAUCUGUCAUCCAUGUCAUCCUGGUUGGUCAAGAACAACAGACGUACAAAAAGUUUAAAAACCAUGUGCAGAAGAUGAACACACUGACUGACGAACUCUGGGACAUCCCUCAAGGAUCAGACCAACUAGACGCCUACGCCCCGUUUCUGUACGACGCCACCCUGCUGUGGGCGAUUCUGGUCAACAGGUCGAUGGUAGCUGGGGAGAAUCCUACCAACGGUACCCACAUGUUCUCCAUGGCGCAGGGAGUACAGACGACAGGUGUGACGGCUAAUUUGGUUCUAGACAGCUUCUGUGACCGACUGGUUAACAUCUGGUUGCUGGACAUGCAGGAAGACGGCAACUUCACCACCAUCACCAAAAUCUACAACACCCUCACCGGCGGAAUGGUCUUCUCGCAAAUGGAGAAGAAAAUCAGUGCGCGAUGGCCGGACGGGAAGGUGGGCCAGGAAAACGCGCCACCUGAUAUACCCAAGUGUGGCUUUGAGGGAGAGAAGUGCAAGAUAGAACCAGACUCUCAUGACCUCGGCUACGCUGACACCAUCACGGGGGCGGCAGCAGGGUCGUCAGUCGUCCUCAUUAUCGCCAUCGCCGUGCAGGUGUCACUCAGACGUUACCGACGUCGCCGGCAGCUGGAGAGUAUGUUGUGGCAGGUGAAGUUUGAGGAGAUCGACUUCGUCACAGCCAUUCUCUGUGGCAGCGUCAGGUCCAGCUUCAAGAAUCUCGCCCGCCGACGCAGCUCGAAGAACGUGAAGGGUGUGUCUAAGACACGCAAUGUUGGGAGUUCUGGCGAUUCCUACACAGACUCACCAAGGUCACAUCACUGCACGGAGACUGGCACCACCAUGUUUGGGUCAGUCGCCUACAUCAGAGGGAGCCUGGUGUCUGUCAAGAGGAUGUCCAAGAACAUCGUCAGUCUGACCAAGGAGGUCCUGCAGGAACUGAACCAGCUGAUGGAACUCAAGAAUCAGAACGUCUGUGCAUUUGUUGGCGCAUGCGUAGAUCCAGGAAGGAUUCUACUGUUGUGGGAGUAUUGCCCUAAGGGCAGUUUGCAGGAUAUCAUCUGGAACACGAACAUCAAGCUGGAUCAGCUCUUCAAGUUCGCCCUGUGCCAGGACGUCGCCAAGGGUCUGGAAUACAUCCACAAGAGUUCGGUAAACUACCAUGGCAACCUGAAAAGUUCCAACUGUGUCGUGGACAGUCGGUGGACAUGUAAACUCACGGACUUCGGGGUCCCUAAAAUCAGGUCGAUGGACAAGGCGUCGAUACCCUUCGAGGAGAACGCAGACAAGGAACUAUGGACGGCCCCUGAGAUUCUGCGAGCUGAGAGGAACGUGGAGUUCCAGAAGGCGGACAUAUACGCCGUGGGCAUCAUCAUGAAGGAGGUGUUCACCCGGUCCGGCCCCUACACCGAGUACCCAUUCUACUGCUCCUCAGAAAUCGUCACUAAAGUUCGGGAACCUUCGACACAGUCUCGGUUCCGUCCGUCAGUUGCACGUGAGCUUCGUCAGCAUCCUGACCUAGCGGCCCUGAUUGAGGAUUGCUGGAGUGAGGACCCCAGUGCUCGUCCCUCCGCCCCGAGGGUGGUCAAGUCUCUCACGAGGAUCAACCCGUCCAAACACAUGACGAUGAUCGACAACAUGAUCGCCAUGUUGGAGAAGUAUGCCAACCAUCUGGAGGAGCUUGUGGCGGAGAGGACGAGUGAGUUGGACGCGGAGAAGAGGAAGACGGAAAACCUGCUGUACAGGAUGCUGCCACAGUCCGUGGCCGAGGACCUCAAGUUGGGUAAACCAGUGAAGGCGGAGAUGUUUGACCAGGCUACGAUAUACUUCUCAGAUAUAGUGGGCUUCACCAAGAUCUGUGGCGAGAGUACACCCAUUGAGGUUGUGAAUCUCCUCAACUGCCUCUACACGCUGUUUGAUGACAUCAUCACGCGCUAUGACGUGUACAAGGUGGAGACAAUCGGGGACGCCUACAUGAUAGCUAGCGGUCUGCCGAUGAGGAACGGCGACAACCACAUCAAGGAGAUCGCCGACUGUGCCAUGGACAUCCUCGCCUCCACCGCCACCUUCACCAUACCUCAUCUACCAGACAGACCCCUCAAGAUACGUAUAGGAAUCCACACAGGGUCGGUGGUUGCGGGAGUUGUUGGUCUAGCGAUGCCUCGGUACUGUUUGUUCGGAGACACGGUCAACGUGGCCUCCAGGAUGGAGUCGACCGGAUUCCCCCUGAAGAUCCACCUGAGCUCAGUCGCCCAUGACAAGCUGGUGUCUCGGUUCGCUGGCUACCACUUCUACGACCGGGGCGAGAUCCCGGUGAAGGGCAAGGGCACCAUGAACACCUUCUUCCUGACUGGGAGGGACGGCUUCACCAAGGUCCUGCCCCCUGCUGACCAGGACGUCCCGGGGUCACCCACAGUCAAGUUCCCCAUGCUGACUAGCAUCCCAGACUAUGGGACACACACACGAGAAGGAAGUCACGCCGCCCUACUCCCAAGUCUCGCCUACUGCGAGACUCACAUGCGAACAGAAAGACACCCAGCUCUGAAACCCAUGCCCAUUGUGACGUCAACGCCUUGCAGAGACGUUUCUAGGGAUGUUGAGGACAGUGGUUACCUUGGCAACAACACACCGAGGUCUCACGUGACAUCAGAUUCCGAGGAGUGUUCCACCAUCGCGACAGUGCCCGGGAAAUGUCUGAAGCUUCAUCCCCAUGAGUUGUUUGGAUCUGCUUCACGUGUGAAUAAUUUAACAGAACCUGUGUGUCCUGCUCUUAACAGAGUGACGUCAGAGAAUUAUGAACCAGCAAACAUUGCUUUACAUGGGAACAGACUGUCCGAACAGACCCGUUGUCAUGUCAUGACGUCUGCGACAGGUGAAGAGCCCAGUGUCGACUGUCACGUUGACAUGGCAGCAGAACCAACUCGUGGCACAAACAUUUGCAGAGUGACGUCAGGUCUUCACGAACAGUCAGACUUUUCCACACAUGUGAAUAGAUUGACAGAACCAACACAUCCUACACAUAUCAACCGAGUGACAUCAGAUCCUAGGGAACUCUCCAACUCUAUUGUCGCUCACGUUAACAGGGCGUACGAACACGAUCAUGACAAAGACUCAAUUGUACGCUUCACCAAGAACUCGCUCAUAAGAAGCGCCACCAUCCCCCGGUGUAAUGCCAGCAGGCCCAGUGUGUUGGUGCCCAACGGGACCCCCAGGAAAGACUUUAACUUCAGAGAUGAUAAUCGCAAUCGAAGGGUAACUCGAAUUCUGGAGAUUACGCCCUUAUGACUAGCGGCCCCCGAGACGUUGGUUUGUGAGAUUGAAGGGGAGAGAAUCUAGCACGUGUGUCUGGAAGAAAGAGUCCAACCCGUGUGUCUGAAAGAGUGAAUCUGGCAUGUGUGUUGAGACAGACUCAUCUGUUAGAUGUCUGGCCAACGUUGAAGGGACCCGUUUCUUUGAUUCAACUGUUAUUAUUGUUACGUGACAUCAAGAUUAUGGAUAAAGAAUGAAAGUGAUUGAUGUGUGACUCAUAACGGGGAAAUAUCUCCGGACUCAAGUGCCUGUACUUGGAGCUGCGUUGGUUGUGGAUUGUGUGACAGUUCAUUGAUACCCCACUGACAGUGUGGACAAGUGUUCAAGAUUAUACGAUCUGCUUCGAUGCAUCAUUAUUCGGUACCAUCACUGAUAGAACAGGGGAGGAAUACUUUGAUUUUGAUGCGCCAUCGGUCUGUGAUGUGAACGUUUAUAACCAUGUUUGUACUAGGGAGUCAUUUCCUUACAAAUGUCUGAUAGCUUUAAUAUCGUCUUGAUAAUAAAGAUCAUUUUAAAACA